rnacentral:lncRNA from 1 species
GCCUUCAUCCAAUUCCGCACCGUCCCGGAGGCGGCCAAAGCUCUGCGUGCCCUCACAUGGCGGAGGUGCAAGGGCGCCCCGUGGCCGUGGAUUGGGCUGUGGCCAAGGAUAAAUACCAGGCGUUGCAGCGUGCUGGUGAGCGCUGUGCACACGCGUGUGCCCCGCGUGGGACACGUAUGUGUGAGACCUGUUAUGUGUGUGGGUGAUCUGACGCGUGUGUGUGUGUGCCCUGGGUGUGACACGUGUGUUUGUGUGGCCUGACACUUGUGUGUGCCACGUGGGACACGUGUCACAUGUGUGCCAUGGGUGUGACACGUGUGUAUAUGACCUGUCACGUGUGUGUGUGUGCCCUGGGUGUGACACGUGUGUGUGUGCCCUGACACGUGUGUGUGCAUCCUGAGUGUGACACGUGUGUGUGUGUGCCCUAUCGUGUGUGUGUGUGCCCUGGGUGUGACGUGUGUGUGUGUGGCCUGUCGUGUGUGUGUGUG